UUGCAAAUAUGCUCUCUGUUCUGAUUUUGUAAUAAUCAGGACAGGCUGAACGUUUGCUAUAUUGACUAUGUAUGUGUCCCCAAUUCUAGUUCUUUCCCUAUGUCUGUUUUCAUCAAUGCUGGUGUGAAAG
ensembl:snoRNA SNORA72 Small nucleolar RNA SNORA72